UUAUUACUCUGAUUUUAGGCAGUGGUGGAGGGAGGGGGUGGCAUUCACCUAGUCCUUCCUUGAAGGACAGUCAUUCUACUUGCUUUGCAAAGGGCUAGAAGGUAGACUGUGUGGGGAAGCUGGCAAGAGCAGUUUUCUUUUCAGAGCCAGUUUCCAUGGUGCCUGACAACACUUGGCAAUCCACAGCUGGGGAGUCUUGGACAGCCAGGGGGGCCCAGGGCCUUAUCUCACCCGGGCCACCCUCCAAGGCCUCUGGCCUCUCUGGGCCCCCAGAGUGAGAGGCCACAGCCUGGACUGCAAGGACCAGAUAACCAUGUACGGUCCCCUUCGAUUCCCAGUGUGUUUACACCUGCUGUGGUCCCCACAUCCUAGAAAGGACCAACUGCACCCAGACAGGUUGGGACACUUCCAGGCGGGACGAAGAGAGGAGAGACAUGUGCCUUACCUGUUCCUGGGAGUUCAUCACUCGCAACUUCAUCUGCUUCAGACACUUCCUCUUGGUUCCGUGGCAGAGGGUUCUGACACCGCUGCACGUUGGCGCCUUCGCACAGACGACUGGCACGGCGAGGGGACUGAAGUCGGUUUCAGCGUCCGUUAGUCCUCUUCUUGCUGCCCCACCCUCAACCCAGACUUGACCUCUUUAAGCCCAGGAGCACAUUGGGACCUCCCUCCCCCACACAGCGACGGGGCUGGAGGCCGUAUGUGAGGCGGACAUUUGAGCAACCACAUUGA